CGGAGAUGUGGCACUGAGGGACGUGGUCAGCAGGAGCAUUCAGGAUGGAAGUGCUGCCAGACCCACUUCGUCUCAGCUGCCUGUCGCCCCCAGAGCUGCAGCUGUAUGCCAUCCCCUUCCCACCAGGCAGGCAGACUGCAGCUGGAGGCACCACUGCUGCUCCGGGAUGUGCUUUGUUCUGUCCAUUCAUUUUGCAAAUCCUCCAGCGUGGGGAAGAGGAGGAUCAGACCUCAGGGUAAUGUGAGGAGCAGGCCAGGCAGCAGCUUUGCUUUCCGUCUGUCUUCAGCAGCCCAAUGCUCCGACCAGGAGCAGCUCAGCUCUCAAACCCAAAGCCAAAUGAAAGCCAACGCUCCUCUCCAGGCAGGGAAACUGAGGCACAGCUUUAAGAAAGAAUGAAAGGAGGGAAGAAAAAAAAAACAACAGAAAAAAGAGGCCAGGCUGACCCUAACCCCAACCCUGACUGAACUCUUGCUCCCCACAGGCACCCAUGGGUGCUGGCAGGACAUUUCAUGGAGAAGCUGCUUGCAUGUGCUGAGGGGGCACAGCAGCAAUAAAACCCUCGCUGUGAA